ACGCUCGACACCUACGGGAGGCAGCAGUUGGGAAUAUUGGACAAUGGAGGAAACUCUGAUCCAGUGACGCCGCGUGAAGGAAGAAGGUCUUCGGAUUGUAAACUUAUUUUGUCAGGGAAGAAAAAUGACUGUACCUGAAGAAAAAGCACCGGCUAACUACGUGCAAGCAGCCGCGGUAAUCUGAGCGGGCUGGGACAAGGC
rnacentral:rRNA from 1 species